rnacentral:misc_RNA from 1 species
GAAAUGCGAUAAGUAAUGUGAAUUGCAGAAUUCAGUGAAUCAUCGAAUCUUUGAACGCACAUUGCGCCCGCCAGUAUUCUGGCGGGCAUGCCUGUUCGAGCGUCAUUUCAACCAUCAAGCCCCCGGCUUGUGUUGGGGACCUGCGGCUGCCCGCAGGCCCUGAAAAACAGUGGCGGGCUCGCUGUCACACCGAGCGUAGUAGCAUACAUUCUCGCUCAGGGCGUGCUGCGGGUUCCGGCCGUUAAACUACCUUCAUAACCCAAGGUUGACCUCGGAUCAGGUAGGAAGACCCGCUGAACUUAAGC